GGAUAGGACCGGUCUAACCGGGAUGUUCAUAACCCUUUGUUGUCCGACUCUGUUGCCUCCGGGGCGACCCUGCCUUCGGGCGGGGGCUCCGGGUGGACACUUCAAACUCUUGCGUAACUUUGCAGUCUGAGUAAACUUAAUUAAUAAAUUAAAACUUUUAACAACGGAUCUCUUGGUUCUGGCAUCGAUGAAGAACGCAGCGAAAUGCGAUAAGUAAUGUGAAUUGCAGAAUUCAGUGAAUCAUCGAAUCUUUGAACGCACAUUGCGCCCCCUGGUAUUCCGGGGGGCAUGCCUGUUCGAGCGUCAUUUCACCACUCAAGCCUCGCUUGGUAUUGGGCAACGCGGUCCGCCGCGUGCCUCAAAUCGACCGGCUGGGUCUUCUGUCCCCUAAGCGUUGUGGAAACUAUUCGCUAAAGGGUGUUCGGGAGGCUACGCCGUAAAACAACCCCAUUUCUAAGGUUGACCUCGGAUCAGGUAGGGAUACCCGCUGAACUUAAGCAUAUCAAUAGCCGGAGGAAA
rnacentral:rRNA from 1 species